GUCCACGCCGUAAACGAUGGAUACUAGCUGUUGGAAGCAAUUUCAGUGGCUAAGCGAAAGUGAUAAGUAUCCCACCUGGGGAGUACGUUCGCAAGAAUGAAACUCAAAGGAAUUGACGGGGGCCCGCACAAGCGGUGGAGCAUGUGGUUUAAUUCGAUGAUACGCGAGGAACCUUACCAAGGCUUAAAUGUAGAUUGACAGGUUUGGAAACAGACUUUUCUUCGGACAAUUUACAAGGUGCUGCAUGGUUGUCGU
rnacentral:rRNA from 1 species